AUUGAACGCUGGCGGCAGGCCUAACACAUGCAAGUCGAGCGGAGCGGCGGACGGGGGAGUAAUGCCUAGGAAUCUGCAUGUUAGUGGGGGAUGACGUCCGGAAACGGGCGCUAAUAUCGCAUACUCUCAGAUGAGCCUAGGUCGGAUUAGCUAGUUGGGGGGGUAAAGGCCUACCAAGGCGACGAUCCGUAACUGGUCUGAGUGGAUGAUCAGUCACACUGGAACGGAGACACGGUCCAGACUCCUACGGGAGGCAGCAGUGGGGAAUAUUGGACAAUGGGCGAAAGCCUGAUCCAGCCAUGCCGCGUGUAUGAAGAAGGUCUUCGGGUUGUAAAGCACUUUAAGUUGGGAGGCGUUACCAGCAGAAGAAGCACCGGCUAACUUCGUGCCAGCAGCCGCGGUAAUAC
rnacentral:rRNA from 1 species